AAUUUUUAAAUAUAUUUGUUUAUCUCUAUCUCUAUCUUUAAAUCAGUUUAAAAUACUGUAUUUAUUUACCUAUGUGCCAAUUACUCACUCUAGUGGAUUCAAAGGCAUGGUCUGUGUUUUUAAGAAAUUUAAAAUCUAACUGUGGUGUCAAGUCCAGUCCAUGUUAUUAUGCAACUGAAAACUUGAGUAUAAAAAUCAAGUAUUAAAUUAGUUAACAUCUCAAGAAUCCUGAGAGUAUAGCUUCCACGAGUUAGAGUAAUUAAGGAAGUCUUUGUGCAGAUGAGACUUGAACAGGCCCUACACAAAGAGGGAAGCUAUAAUAAUAUGAACAAAGAUGUAAAAAUAGGAACCCAUUCCUCUAUUUAUUCUAAUACCCAAUAUUUAUUGAAUAGUGUUUGUCAAAAGUAUGUUAAGUGCUAGAAAUGCAAAAA